ACGUAGGGGGCGAGCGUUGUCCGGAAUUACUGGGCGUAAAGGGUGCGUAGGCGGUUGCUUAAGUUGGAUGUGAAAUACCCGGGCUUAACUUGGGGGGUGCAUUCAAAACUGGGCAACUAGAGUUCAGGAGAGGGAAGCGGAAUUCCUAGUGUAGCGGUGAAAGGAGUAGAUAUUAGGAGGAGCACCAGUGGCGAAGGCAGCAGUCGGGACUGACACUGACGCUGAGGCACGAGAGCGUGGGGAGGAAAGAU
rnacentral:rRNA from 1 species